rnacentral:rRNA from 1 species
AUGUAUAAGUAUAAACGAUUCUAUCGUGAAACCGCGAACGGCUCAUUAUAACAGCUAUAAUUUACUUGAUCUUGACUAUCCUACUUGGAUAACUGUGGUAAUUCUAGAGCUAAUACAUGCACCAAAGCCCUGACCUUACGGAAAGGGUGCAUUUAUUAGAACAAAACCAAGCGACUUCGGUCGUUUUUUGUUGACUCAGAAUAACUAAGCUGAUCGCAUGGUCUUGCACCGGCGACGUGUCUUUCAAGUAUCUGCUUUAUCAACUUUCGAUGGUAGUGUAUCUGACUACCAUGGUGGUGACGGGUAACGGAGGAUAAGGGUUUGACUCCGGAGAAGGGGCCUGAGAAAUGGCCACUACGUCUAAGGAUGGCAGCAGGCGCGCAAAUUACCCACUCUCAGAACGAGGAGGUAGUGACGAAAAAUAACGAGACCGUUCUCUACGAGGCCGGUCAUCGGAAUGGGUACAAUCUAAACCCUUUAACGAGUAUCUAUGGGAGGGCAAGUCUGGUGCCAGCAGCCGCGGUAAUUCCAGCUCUCAAAAUGCAUAGAAUUAUUGCUGCGGUUAAAAAGCUCGUAGUUGGAUCUGUGCUGAGGACCUGGUCCACCUUCGGGUGCGUACUAGGCUCCACGGCUUUUCUGCCGGUUUUCCCGUCAUGGCUUUCAUCGGCUGUGGCGGGUGGCUGGUGAUUUUACUUUGAACAAAUCAGAGUGCUUCAAACAGGCGUUUAGCUUGAAUGUUUUCGCAUGGAAUAAUAGAAGAGGAUUUCGGUUCCAUUUUAUUGGUUUUAUAGACUGAGAUAAUGGUUAACAGAGACCAACGGGGGCAUUCGUACCGCUGCGUGAGAGGUGAAAUUCUUGGACCGCAGCGAGACGAACUACAGCGAAAGCAUUUGCCAAGAAGGUCUUCAUUAAUCAAGAACGAAAGUCAGAGGUUCGAAGGCGAUCAGAUACCGCCCUAGUUCUAACCGUAAA